rnacentral:tRNA from 3 species
UAUUUAAAUAGUUUAAUAAAAAUAUUGAAUUGUGGUUUCAAUGAUAUAUAAAUAUAAAGUAA